AAGUUAUAAUAUAUUUUAUAAUUUUAUAUAUUUUUCAUGUUAAUUUUGUUUAGAUUAUUAUCUAUUAGUAUUAGGUAAUUCUCAGGGCUCUUUUUUGCAUUUGACCUCCUGAAAAAAAUUUAUUUUAAAUAUAGCCCCAGUAAAUUUAUAUUUGCAAAAAUAGUCCUAAUCUUGCCACGCAGGCACCACGUUAACGACACGUCAGCGGAACUAUAUAUUAAGUUGAACACGGUAAAUCAUUCACCGCGUUAGACACAGUGAAUGGUUCACCGUGUUUGGAAAAGAUAUAGUAUAUAUGUAUUGUAAAAAAAAUAUAAGAAAAAUAAAAAAAAGUGGGAGGAGAAUAUAGGUAUGGAACACAGUAAAUCAUUCACCGUAUUUGAACACGGUGUGGAGCACAAUAAAUCAUUCACCGUGUUUGAACAUGGUGAACCAUUCAACGUGUUCAACUUAAAAUCAUGACGCUGAUGUUGCGCCCGCGUGGCAGGGAUAAGGUCAAAUUUGUAAUUAUAACUUUGAUAAGAUUAUUUGUAAAAAAAAAUAUUUUGAUAGGAUCAAAUGCGAAAAAAGCCAUAAUUCUCACUUCC
rnacentral:lncRNA from 1 species